rnacentral:tRNA from 1 species
GGAGGGUUCGCAUAGUGGUCUAGUGCGCACGCUUGGAAAGCGUGUGUGCUCGCAAGGGCACCGAGGGUUCAAAUCCCUCCCUCUCCGCCA